rnacentral:tRNA from 1 species
GCCGGGGUGGCGGAACUGGCAGACGCACGGGACUUAAAAUCCCGGGACCUUCGGGUUGUAAGGGUUCAACUCCCUUCCCCGGCAC